ACUCUUGUCGGAACCUUUGAUGUUUUUGGGGCCGCGCAUGCUGCUUCGCGCAUCUCGGCCGCCAUCUUCCUAGCCAGUCAAUUUCUGAUAAACAAUAUAAGGACUGUAAAGAGAAGUACAAAUAUUUGCCUGUAUCUCUUCAAUAUGGUCGUAGAUUUGUUCCUAGCGAGAGUUUGACAAAAUUUGAGUGGUUUGGCACUUUGAUGCAGUUUAGAAGUUCAGAUGACCUGCAUCAUAAUGUAUUGAGCGUUUAAUCUUGACGGUCACUUUCAUUUGAUUCAUCCGAGGUGUAUGCGGGUUCAUUUAUUUUCCUUCUAAAGGAGACCGCCAAAGCUCUUGUCUGACUCAUAUGCCUUGAAGUAGCAAAGCAGAUUUCUGCUAUCAUCAAGUUGGUCUGUGACCAUAACUGACUCACAUAUGGAACACUUGUGCUUUUCAAAAUAUUUCUGGAAUGGAGAAAUCAAAACAGGAAUGCUUGAGUCAGCUUUGCAGAAUUGUGCCGUAAUAUAUGAAAUUAUAAUAUGAAGAAUUGUGCAGUAAUAUAUGAAAUUAUAAUAUGAUAUAAUAAUGAUAUUACAUGAUAGUAGUUGCUAUCAUGUAACAGACAUUAAUUAAUGUUUGAAUCCACAGCUGAUGUUAUGUAAAGUUUGCAAGAAGUACUUGUAAAUUGUGUUUUCCAUUUACCACUUCCACUUUGAAUUAUCAUAUUUAGGAACAAACUGUAGGAACAAACUACUAUUACAGAUAAAGCAUAUACAAUCAUCAAUUCAGCAAUGUUGAGCAUUGUUUGAGUUUACGAGGAAAAUAAAAUAUGAGCAUAGGUUUUCAAGACAAUUCACAAAAUUAAAGAUCAUUGCUUUUAAUUCUCAGGACAGUUCCACCAUACAGUUUAUAUUUAUUUCUAGUAAAAAACUACAGCAGAAGGAUUCUAUUAAAAUAAAAUAAAUAGUGGAAA